rnacentral:rRNA from 1 species
CCUACGGGAGGCAGCAGUGGGGAAUCUUGCACAAUGGAGGAAACUCUGAUGCAGCGAUGCCGCGUGAGUGAAGAAGGCCUUUGGGUUGUAAAGCUCUUUUGUAGGGGAAGAUAAUGACUGUACCCUAAGAAUAAGGUCCGGCUAACUUCGUGCCAGCAGCCGCGGUAAUACGAAGGGACCUAGCGUAGUUCGGAAUUACUGGGCGUAAAGCGCGCGUAGGCCGUUGAGUUAGUUAAUUGUGAAAUCCCAAAGCUUAACUUUGGAACUGCAAUUAAAACUGCUCGACUAGAGUUUGAUAGAGGAAAGCGGAAUACAUAGUGUAGAGGUGAAAUUCGUAGAUAUUAUGUAGAACACCAGUUGCGAAGGCGGCUUUCUGGAUCAACACUGACGCUGAGGCGCGAAAGUAUGGGUAGCAAAGAGGAUUAGAUACCCUCGUAGUCCAUACCAUAAACGAUGAUUGCUAGAUGUUGGAAAUUUAUUUUCAGUAUCGCAGCUACGCAUAAGUACAACUACCGCCGUCGGGGUAGGUACGGACCGACCGAACGGUUAAAACGUUAACAAAUAGAAGUUAAGUACGGUCGUUGAGACGUUGCCGAACGGCGACGACGAGGGAGGAGG